rnacentral:lncRNA from 1 species
AGUGGAACCACAUGCUGAAAAAGAAAGAAACGGAGCUUGCUAAUGCAGGAGGAACACAUGGGCAUUGCCAGUGCCCUUAAGCAAAGUGGUGCCUGUCUCCUCCAGGGCCACUCAACACAUCCAAUACUGUGACACAGAGGACUGGAGUUUGGUUCCCAUCCCCAUGUUGGGCAGAUCAUGACGACCUGUGACUACAGCUUCAGAGGGCCUAGAACCUUCUUCUGGAGACCCUGCAUGCUCUGCCUUCAUGUGCUCCUUCCCCUAAGACACAGACGCCUUCCUAACCGUCUCUGGUGACAACAGGACAGGAACAUCACAGCUGUUUAUGUGCUAUGAUUUCCUAUGUGUGCACACAGGAAUAAGACUCUCUUGCCUUGCCCACAAACCACUCUUCACUCUUGGGAUGACCUUGCUCCAGCUGGGAUCAGAAGUUCUAGAGCAUUCUGGGUAUGAAAUCAAGGCCUGUGGGGAAAAUUUUAGCACCCAGUGUCUGCCCCGGUGUGCUUAGUGUCACCCCCAUAAGCGUUGACUUCACUAUCCCCCGUGUCCUGACUCCUAUAAAGAUGUUGAGUAAGCUCUGAGGUUUCCUGCCA